CCUACGGGGAGCAGCAGUGAGGAAUAUUGGUCAAUGGGCGGGAGCCUGAACCAGCCAAGUCGCGUGAAGGAAGAAGGUACUGAGUAUUGUAAACUUCUUUUGUCGGGGAACAAAGUCUGAGACGCGUCCCCGGUUGAGUGUACCCGAAGAAAAAGCAUCGGCUAACUCCGUGCCAACAGCCGCGGUAAUACGGGGGAUGCGAGCGUUAUCCGGAUUUAUUGGGUUUAAGGGGUGCGCAGGGGGGGGGUAAAGUCAGCGGUAAAAUGUCGGGGCUAAACCCCGGCCGGCCGUUGAAACUGGUGGUCUAGAGUUGGGGAGAGGUAGGCGGAAUUCGUGGUGUAGCGGUGAAAUGCAUAGAUAUCACGAAGAACUCCGAUUGCGAAGGCAGCAUACCGGCU
rnacentral:rRNA from 1 species